GACGAACGCUGGCGGCGUGCUUAACACAUGCAAGUCGAACGGAAAGGCGCUGCUUUUGCGGGGUGCUCGAGUGGCGAGCGGGUGAGUAACACGUGAGUAACCUGCCCCUGACUUUGUGAUAACUUUAGGAAACUGGGGCGAAUACCGGAGAGGAUCUCCUGCUGCAUGGUGGGGGUUGGAAAGUUUCGGCGGUUGUGGAUGGUCUCGCGGCUUAUCAGCUUGUUGGUGGGGUAGUGGCUGACCAAGGCUUUGACGGGUAGCCGACCUGAGAGGGUGACCGGCGACAAUGGGACUGAGGGAGGGAGCAGAAGCCAACGGGAGGCAGCAGUGGGGAAUAUGGCAGAAUGGGGGGAAGCCAGAUGCAGCAACGUCGCGUGCGGAAUGAUCUGCUACGAGUUGUAAACAGAUGUGGAAUGUAACGAAGCGUGAGUGACGGUAAUUGGUAAGGAAGCACCGGCUAACUACGUG
rnacentral:rRNA from 1 species